UAGCCUCAACUCAUGUGAGACUACCCCCUGAAUUUAAGCAUAUUAAUAAGGGGAGGAAAAGAAACUAAAUAGGAUUCCCCUAGUAGCGGCGAGCGAAAAGGGAAAAGUCCACCACGUAGAAAUCGAGAA
rnacentral:rRNA from 1 species